rnacentral:piRNA from 1 species
GUAUUAAAUCUGGCAAGUAGGGGU